AGCGAACGCUGGCGGCAGGCUUAACACAUGCAAGUCGAGCGGGCAUCCUUGUGGUGUCAGCGGCAGACGGGUGAGUAACGCGUGGGAACGUGCCCUUCGGUUCGGAAUAACUCAGGGAAACUUGAGCUAAUACCGGAUACGUGCGAGAGCAGAAAGGUUUAUCUGCCGAAGGAUCGGCCCGCGUCUGAUUAGCUAGUUGGUGAGGUUAUGGCUCACCAAGGCGACGAUCAGUAGCUGGUCUGAGAGGAUGAUCAGCCACACUGGGACUGAGACACGGCCCAGACUCCUACGGGAGGCAGCAGUGGGGAAUAUUGGACAAUGGGGGCAACCCUGAUCCAGCCAUGCCGCGUGAGUGAUGACGGCCUUAGGGUUGUAAAGCUCUUUUCUUCGGGACGAUAAUGACGGGACCGGAGGAAUAAGCCCCGGCUAACUUCGU
rnacentral:rRNA from 1 species